rnacentral:rRNA from 1 species
GCUACACAUGCAGUCGAACGGCAGCACAGUAAGAGCUUGCUCUUAUGGGUGGCGAGUGGCGGACGGGUGAGGAAUACAUCGGAAUCUACUCUUUCGUGGGGGAUAACGUAGGGAAACUUACGCUAAUACCGCAUACGACCUACGGGUGAAAGCGGAGGACCUUCGGGCUUCGCGCGAUUGAAUGAGCCGAUGUCGGAUUAGCUAGUUGGCGGGGUAAAGGCCCACCAAGGCGACGAUCCGUAGCUGGUCUGAGAGGAUGAUCAGCCACACUGGAACUGAGACACGGUCCAGACUCCUACGGGAGGCAGCAGUGGGGAAUAUUGGACAAUGGGCGCAAGCCUGAUCCAGCCAUGCCGCGUGGGUGAAGAAGGCCUUCGGGUUGUAAAGCCCUUUUGUUGGGAAAGAAAAGCAGUCGGUUAAUACCCGAUUGUUCUGACGGUACCCAAAGAAUAAGCACCGGCUAACUUCGUGCCAGCAGCCGCGGUAAUACGAAGGGUGCAAGCGUUACUCGGAAUUACUGGGCGUAAAGCGUGCGUAGGUGGUGGUUUAAGUCUGUUGUGAAAGCCCUGGGCUCAACCUGGGAAUUGCAGUGGAUACUGGGUCACUAGAGUGUGGUAGAGGGUAGCGGAAUUCCCGGUGUAGCAGUGAAAUGCGUAGAGAUCGGGAGGAACAUCCGUGGCGAAGGCGGCUACCUGGACCAACACUGACACUGAGGCACGAAAGCGUGGGGAGCAAACAGGAUUAGAUACCCUGGUAGUCCACGCCCUAAACGAUGCGAACUGGAUGUUGGUGCAAUUUGGCACGCAGUAUCGAAGCUAACGCGUUAAGUUCGCCGCCUGGGAGUACGGUCGCAAGACUGAAACUCAAGGAAUUGACGGGGGCCC